UACGGGGGGGGUAAGCGUUGUUCGGAAUUACUGGGCGUAAAGGGCUCGUAGGCGGCCAACUAAGUCAGACGUGAAAUCCCUCGGCUUAACCGGGGAACUGCGUCUGAUACUGGAUGGCUUGAAUCCGGGAGAGGGAUGCGGAAUUCCAGGUGUAGCGGUGAAAUGCGUAGAUAUCUGGAGAAACACCGGUGGCGAAGGCGGCAUCCUGGACCGGUAUUGACACUGAGGCGCGAAAGCCAGGGGAGCAAACGGG
rnacentral:rRNA from 1 species